CUCAUGGUCAAUAAAAACAAUUUUUUCUCACACAAAAAUAUACUAGCAAAUAACCUUCAAUGGAGAAAACUCAAUUUGGCCACUUUUAUCAAUUAUGCCUUCAUUUAAAUCUCUCCUGUGACAAACUGAUUUACAUCCUGAGAAUGAACUGAAGUGAAAAAACCCCUGAACACAAACAUAUGAGAGCCUCACAUCUUCAUCUAUUCAAAGUCUGUGGCGAUGGGGGAAUAUUAGCCGAUGCAUCUCUCCUAAAUUCUACCUGACUCCGUUUUUCUCUGUGUCUGUUCAAAACUGCUUGUUUCCACACAUUCACAUUUCUUCUACCUCUUGACAGUUGAGAAACUGCUUUUACUGAUUUUGAUCGUGACCUUGUUCUUCAGAUGGAUUUGCUGAAGUUAGAUCCUUGUUGUUAAAUAUAAACAUGUGCAAAUAAAGACUUAAGCAUUUAGCACGAAGCUCUAUGUCAUGACUUGUAGGAUGGACAGACCCAGAUGCUGAAACCCAGAAUGAGGACAACGUUAGGUAAGAGGCAAGUAAGAGUUUUAUUUUCCUUCCAGGAGAGAUGGUUGUGGCUCGGUAUGAGUCAUAAGGACUGCGGCGUGAGGCGUGGCUGGAGGUAGUAGCGCGGCUUGGUAGAGCGUGUUGUUUCCACAGUAGUGAUGGGACGAGCGACACUGGUGCAUCAGCACUGUGCCGAGAGCUCAAGAGGGAAACCUUGUAUCGGUGCGUGUAUUGCUUUAAGAAAGAAUCACGUGACCGAUCCAGGAACUGUGUCUUUUGGAUGUGCGACGCCAAAGUGUGUUUAUCAGGAAACAAACUGUAUCAACAUGUCGUGGGUUUGUCGGAUGGAGUUUUGUUUGAUCGUGGAUCGUCCAUGGAAGUGUUCCCCGGUGUGGAAUAAUUUUGAUCUUGUGACGCCAAACAAGGUGAAGUGUCGGCUCUGCUCCACAGAGCUAUCUUAUAUCAAUAAGAGCACUUCAUCAAUGCUGAGGCAUUAUAGAGCUCGGCAUGGCAAUGAAGAAUUGGCAGCUACUCGUGAGAGUACCCCAGUUCCUAACAAGCAAGCAGUGGAUGAGGCAGUGGUCAAUAUGAUCAUCAAAAACUGUCAGCCACUCAGCUUGGUUGAAAAUGAGGAAUUCAUGGAGCUCCUGAAGCUUAUUGUAACCUCGUAUGCUCUACCAAGCAGGGAGGCAUGUUCAAGAAUUUUUAUUAUAUCUUUGUACUAACUAUAUAACUAUAUUUUAUCGGUGUAACAGUAUUUGUAUGGUUAUUUUCAGACCAUCAAGGACUUGGUGAGCCAGAGAUAUGAGGAGGAGAAGGAGAAAACCAAAAAGGACCUCCAGAGUGCCGUUGCUGUUACUUUAACAGCUGAUAUGUGGACGUCUAUGAAUAUGGAGGCAUAUCUAGCUGUAACUGGCCACUAUGUGGACAAAGAAAGCCAUGAACAACAUUGCCACGGUUAAAAGGAGCCUCAUGGAGGAGGGGGGCAUAGCAGGAAAGGUCAGGUGUCUUGUCACUGAUGCAGCAGCAAACAUGACUGCAUGUGCUCGAAUGCUUCAAAUACGGCAUACCAUUUGUAUAGCCCAUUCCCUGAAUUUAAUUGUGAGAAAAUCAUGUGAUCAAAUCCCAACAAUAACUGUAUUACGCAGCAAAACACGUCACAUUGUGACAUACUUUCGAUCAAGCGUGACUGCUAAAGAGAAGCUCACUCAAAUACAGCAACAGCUGAGAACACCGGGCCAUAAAUUAAUAAACGAGGUGCCAACACGAUGGAACAGUACCUACCAAAUGUUUGAAAGAAUGACUGAGCAGAAGGAGGCAGUCUGGGUGUCACUGGCCUCAUUAAAACCUGACAUCACUCCACUGACUCCAGAAGAAUGUCAGAUCAUUGAAGAGAUGCUCAGGGUUCUUGCUCCUUUUGACCAAGCUACAAGAGAACUUUCUGAGGAAAAAAGGGUCUCUGGGUCGAAGGUCAUUCCCAUGAUGAGAAUGCUCCACAUUGAGCUUCAACGUCAGGCUACAACAGUGACAAAAACAGCUCCUCAGCAACUGGCUAAAAACCUGAGGAAGCGGCUAACUGACGCUAUUUGCGGCAUGGAAUCUCUCAGUGUGAUGACUCUGGCAACUCUGUUGGAUCCCAGAUUUAAAAAGAAUGGAUUUGUUAGUCAGCAAAAGGCAAGUGAAGCGGUGAAGAGACUGCAGUCAGAAUGUGCAGAAGAAAUGAGGAGCCAAGAGCCUGUCAUGAUUUGAAUUUGUUGUCUUGUUUUUGGUCCUUGUUCUGUCUAGUUUCUGUUUCCCGUUUUAUUUUGAAAGUCUCCUGUCUUGUCUGGUUUCUUGAGUUUUACUUCCUUUGGUCCCCAUCAGCCCUGAUCGUGUCCACCUGUGUCUUGUCUGCCCUGUCUGUAUUUAAGUCUUGUCUCUGCCUUCCUCCUGUGCUGGUCCAUUAACGUCUCAUGUAACGUCUUCAUGUGUCCUCGUCCCUUCAUGCCAUGUUCCAUGUCCCUCGCCAAGCCACAGUGAGUUUUGUUUGCUUAGUCAUCCUGCUCUGCAGCACUUUUUGUUUCUAUUAAACCCCUUGCCCUUGAACCGUGUGCCUCCGCCUCUGCAUUUGGGUCCUUACCUGCUCUCAAGCCCCCUGCACAUGACAGAGCCUGACCCAAGAGAAGAGCCUAGCUCUUCACAUGGGUCAGAACCCAGUACAGGGCACAAUCUCUGGAAAAACUUUAGAUAUGGAGGUUGCAGAGACCCAGAAGACGAGGAACGCAACAGCUGACUCCAAUAUUGAAGUCCAACGCUACCUGGCAGAAACAAACACACCCAGAAACCAAGAUCCUUUGCAAUAUUGGAAAUGGAACCAGGAAAUAUACCCACAUCUUCAUCAACUUGCACUUAAAACUCUCUGCUCACCAUCAUCGUCUGUACCACGCGAAAGAGUAUUUUCCAAGGCUGGGGAGCUGGUGUUUAAGAGGAGAAAUCGCCUUGGAACAAAGACACUCCAAAAACUUUUGUUUCUCAAUAAAAAAUUC